GACGAACGCUGGCGGCGUGCUUAACACAUGCAAGUCGAACGAUGAAGCCUUAGCUUGCUUUGGUGGAUUAGUGGCGAACGGGUGAGUAACACGUGAGCAACGUGCCCAGGACUCUGGAAUAACCGCGGGAAACCGUGGCUAAUACCGGAUAGGUGCCGAGGCCGCAUGGUCUUCGGUUGGAAAGUUUUUGCGGUUCUGGAUCGGCUCACGGCCUAUCAGCUUGUUGGUGGGGUAAUGGCCUACCAAGGCGACGACGGGUAGCCGGCCUGAGAGGGUGACCGGCCACACUGGGACUGAGACACGGCCCAGACUCCUACGGGAGGCAGCAGUGGGGAAUAUUGCACAAUGGGCGCAAGCCUGAUGCAGCAACGCCGCGUGGGGGAUGACGGCCUUCGGGUUGUAAACCUCUUUUAGUAGGGAAGAAGCGCAAGUGACGGUACCUGCAGAAAAAGCACCGGCUAACUACGUG
rnacentral:rRNA from 1 species